rnacentral:rRNA from 1 species
CAAGUCGAACGCUUCUUUCCUCCCGAGUGCUUGCUCAAUUGGAAAGAGGAGUGGCGGACGGGUGAGUAACACGUGGGUAACCUACCCAUCAGAGGGGGAUAACACUUGGAAACAGGUGCUAAUACCGCAUAACAGUUUAUGCCGCAUGAUAAGAGUGAAAGGCGCUUUCGGGUGUCGCUGAUGGAUGGACCCGCGGUGCAUUAGCUAGUUGGUGAGGUAACGGCUCACCAAGGCCACGAUGCAUAGCCGACCUGAGAGGGUGAUCGGCCACACUGGGACUGAGACACGGCCCAGACUCCUACGGGAGGCAGCAGUAGGGAAUCUUCGGCAAUGGACGAAAGUCUGACCGAGCAACGCGCGUGAGUGAAGAAGGUUUUCGGAUCGUAAAACUCUGUUGUUAGAGAAGAACAAGGACGUUAGUAACUGAACGUCCCCUGACGGUAUCUAACC